UGGGGAAUUUUGGACAAUGGGCGAAAGCCUGAUCCAGCAAUGCCGCGUGUGUGAAGAAGGCCUUCGGGUUGUAAAGCACUUUUGUCCGGAAAGAAAUCCUUGGCUCUAAUACAGUCGGGGGAUGACGGUACCGGAAGAAUAAGCACCGGCUAACUACGUGCCAGCAGCCGCGGUAAUACGUAGGGUGCAAGCGUUAAUCGGAAUUACUGGGCGUAAAGCGUGCGCAGGCGGUUUGCUAAGACCGAUGUGAAGUCCCCGGGCUCAACCUGGGAACUGCAUUGGUGACUGGCAGGCUAGAGUAUGGCAGAGGGGGGUAGAAUUCCACGUGUAGCAGUGAAAUGCGUAGAGAUGUGGAGGAAUACCGAUGGCGAAGGCAGCCCCCUGGGCCAAUACUGACGCUCAUGCACGAAAGCGUGGGGAGCAAACAGGAUUAGAUACCCUGGUAGUCCACGCCCUAAACGAUGUCAACUAGUUGUUGGGGAUUCAUUUCCUUAGUAACGUAGCUAACGCGUGAAGUUGACCGCCUGGGGGAGUACGGUCGCAAGAUUAAAACUCAAAGGAAUUGAC
rnacentral:rRNA from 1 species